CAAUAGAUACCUGGGUAGUCCACGCCCUAAACGAUGUCAACUGGUUGUCGGGGAAGCAAUUCCUUGGUAACGAAGCUAACGCGUGAAGUUGACCGCCUGGGGAGUACGGCCGCAAGGUUAAAACUCAAAGGAAUUGACGGGGGACCUGCACAAGCGGUGGAUUAUGUGGAUUAAUUCGAUGCAACGCGAAAAACCUUACCUACCCUUGACAUGUACGGAACCCCGCAGAGAUGCGGGGGUGCCCGAAAGGGAGCCGUAACACAGGUGCUGCAUGGCUGUCGUCAGCUCGUGUCGUGAGAUGUUGGGUUAAGUCCCGCAACGAGCGCAACCCUUGUCAUUAGUUGCUACAUUCAGUUGGGCACUCUAAUGAGACUGCCGGUGACAAACCGGAGGAAGGUGGGGAUGACGUCAAGUCCUCAUGGCCCUUAUGGGUAGGGCUUCACACGUAAUACAAUGGCCGGUACAGAGGGCUGCCAACCCGCGAGGGGGAGCUAAUCCCAAGAAAGCCGGUCGUAGUCCGGNGUUGUUCUCUGCAACUCGAGAGCAUG
rnacentral:rRNA from 1 species